rnacentral:rRNA from 1 species
UACGAAGGGUGCAAGCGUUACUCGGAUUACUGGGCGUAAAGGGUGCGUAGGCGGUCUGUUAAGUUGGAUGUGAAAACUCUGGGCUCAACCCAGAGCCUGCAUCCAAAACUGCAGGCUAGAGUUCUGGAGGGGGUAGCGGAAUUCCUGGUGUAGCGGUGAAAUGCGUAAAUAUCAGGAGGAACACCGGUGGCGAAGGCGGUUCUCUGGGCCUUACCUGACGCUGAGGAGCGAAAGCGUGGGGAGCAAACAGG